UACAGAGGUCUCAAGCGUUGUUCGGAUUCAUUGGGCGUAAAGGGUGCGUAGGUGGCAUGGUAAGUCGGAUGUGAAAUCCCGGGGCUCAACCCCGGAACUGCAUUCGAUACUGCUGCGCUAGAGUACUGGAGAGGAGAUUGGAAUUUACGGUGUAGCAGUGAAAUGCGUAGAUAUCGUAAGGAAGACCAGUGGCGAAGGCGGAUCUCUGGACAGUUACUGACACUGAGGCAG
rnacentral:rRNA from 1 species